rnacentral:rRNA from 1 species
GACCUGGUGGUCAUGGCGGGGUGGCUGCACCCGUUCCCAUUCCGAACACGGCCGUGAAACGCCCCUGCGCCAAUGGUACUUCGUCUUAAGACGCGGGAGAGUAGGUCGCUGCCAGGU